rnacentral:tRNA from 1 species
GAGGGUAUAGCUCAUGCUUAACAUGCAUGAGGUCCUGGGUUCAAUCCCCAGUACCUCCU